ensembl:miRNA
CAGCGCAGACUGGUAUGGCCCAGCCGGCUCUGGGCGGGUAUCUCUUUGAGCGCCUCACCCUUAAGCAUGAUUAGGAGGCCUUGCCUUCC